rnacentral:rRNA from 1 species
UACGUAGGGAGCAAGCGUUGUCCGGAAUCAUUGGGCGUAAAGCGCGCGUAGGUGGCUUCGUAAGUCCGUUGUGAAAGUCAAAGGCUCAACCUUUGAAAGCCGAUGGAUACUGUGAAGCUAGAGUACGGAAGAGGCGAGUGGAAUUCCUGGUGUAGCGGUGGAAUGCGCAGAUAUCAGGAGGAACACCAAUAGCGAAGGCAGCUCGCUGGGACGGUACUGACGCUGAGGUGCGAAAGCGUGGGGAGCAAACAGG